CCAUGUCCAAAUGGGUUGUCCAA
rnacentral:siRNA from 1 species